GAUGAACGCUGGCGGCGUGCCUAAUACAUGCAAGUCGAGCGAACGGACGAGAAGCUUGCUUUUCUGAUGUUAGCGGCGGACGGGUGAGUAACACGUGGAUAACCUACCUAUAAGACUGGGAUAACUUCGGGAAACCGGAGCUAAUACCGGAUAAUAUUUUGAACCGCAUGGUUCAAAAGUGAAAGACGGUCUUGCUGUCACUUAUAGAUGGAUCCGCGCUGCAUUAGCUAGUUGGUAAGGUAACGGCUUACCAAGGCAACGAUGCAUAGCCGACCUGAGAGGGUGAUCGGCCACACUGGAACUGAGACACGGUCCAGACUCCUACGGGAGGCAGCAGUAGGGAAUCUUCCGCAAUGGGCGAAAGCCUGACGGAGCAACGCGGGGUGAGUGAUGAAGGUCUUCGGAUCGUAAAACUCUGUUAUUAGGGAAGAACAUAUGUGUAAGUAACUGUGCACAUCUUGACGGUACCUAAUCAGAAAGCCACGGCUAACUACGUG
rnacentral:rRNA from 1 species